UAUUCCCGCAACGAGCGCACCCUCGCCUUUAGUUGCCAUCACGUUUGGGUGGGCACUCUAAAGGAACUGCCGGUGACAAGCCGGAGGAAGGUGGGGAUGACGUCAAGUCCUCAUGGCCCUUAUGUCCUGGGCUACACACGUGCUACAAUGGCGGUGACAGUGGGAAGCCAGGUGGUGACACCGAGCCGAUCUCAAAAAGCCGUCUCAGUUCGGAUUGCACUCUGCAACUCGAGUGCAUGAAGGUGGAAUCGCUAGUAAUCGCGGAUCAGCAUGCCGCGGUGAAUACGUUCCCGGGA
rnacentral:rRNA from 1 species